AGCUGUUGAGCUUGGUCGUUUUCCUUUCUUGGUUGUGUUUGCAGACCAGGACACACAUCAUGGUGACUUGGUCAGCUCCUUGGUCAUCAUCUGGUCCAUCACCGAGGUAUGUAUUCACCAUUGACUUCACUCAUAUCAUACGCUCCUUGAAAGCUAUGGACUACAGUUGUUCAUAAUAAAUGUAAUAUCGAGCCGCGAGGCGCUCCUGUUGAUGUGCACACUAGCUCCAGAUGUGUCCCUCAAUUAAUGCAAAUGCGAGUAUGCGACGACGAUUUUGACAUGUGUGUGUUGCUGCUUCAAAUUGAAUUUCUAGAUACUAGUGAGGAAUUUAACAAAGAAUUGUUACAGCUUAAUUUACUAUACUUCACUAUUAUAUCAGGGGAGGUGUGGUUACACCUUAAUUUACUAUGCUUCAAACUGUUUUCACGCUAUUGUAUGGUGCUUGCGAGACCUUGCCAUCUAAGGUUGCCCCAAAAUAACAGCUAGGGAACGCCUUAAACUAUGUGUUUGGUGAAACUUUUAAAUAGGAGAAUAUAGUGGAAACAUUGCAAUACCCGCACACUUGUUCAGAAGUGUUUUGAAGCGUUGUAACCGGAGGCCAGUUACAAGUAAUAUAAAAUAGGGAGCAUUGACAAUGUUUCUUCAGUAUGUUAUGUAGAAGGCAGUGUCCCCCCUUCGUAUUUUCAUAUGGUUUGUUUACCACAUGCCAUCAAUUUUUGUAAUUUUGUGUGCUGGUUCUCUGAAAAUUAUGUCAUGUUAUUUGUACUCAGGUGCGUAACCUAACUACUCCCUCUGUCCCGUAAUUCUUAUCUGGACCACCACAAACCGGAGACUACGGGAACCGCAGCUGCUGCGAAAACCUGUGAACCCACCGGCGGCAGCAAGCUAAAGGCUCCCCCUUGCAAGGUCAAA
rnacentral:lncRNA from 1 species